rnacentral:pre_miRNA from 1 species
AGUGGGAUAGCUGGGUUAAAUGAUGGUUUCAUUUCAAGUUUUCUAAGGAAUCUCCCUACUGCUUUCCAGAGUGGUUGUACCAAUUUGCAGUCCCACCAGCAAU